rnacentral:rRNA from 1 species
AUUGAACGCUGGCGGCAGGCCUAACACAUGCAAGUCGAGCGAGCGGCGGACGGGUGAGUAAUGUCUGGGAAACUGCCUGAUGGAGGGGGAUAACUACUGGAAACGGUAGCUAAUACCGCAUACCAUCAGAGGUGCCCAGAUGGGAUUAGCUAGUAGGUGGGGUAACGGCUCACCUAGUCGACGAUCCCUAGCUGGUCUGAGAGGAUGACCAGCCACAUUGGAACGGAGACACGGGCCAGACGCCUCCGGGAGGCAGCAGUGGGGAAUAUUGCACAAGGGGCGAAAGCCUGAGGUAGCAAUGCCGCGUGUGUGAAGAAGGCCUUCGGGUUGUAAAGCACUUCCAGCGGGGAGGCGUUAACCACAGAGGAAGCACCGGCUAACUCCGUGCCAGCAGCCGCGGUAAUUC